GGUUCGAUCAUGGCUCAGAUUGAACGCUGGCGGGAUGCUUUACACAUGCAAGUCGAACGGCAGCACGGACUUCGGUCUGGUGGCGAGUGGCGAACGGGUGAGUAAUGUAUCCGGAACGUGCCUGGUAACCAGGGGAUAUUGCGGCCUUCUUGCCGCAUACGCCCUUCGGGGAAAGCGGGGGACCUUCGGGCCUCGCACUAUUAGAGCGGCCGAUAUCGGAUUAGCUAGUUGGUGGGGUAACGGCUCACCAAGGCGACGAUCCGUAGCUGGUUUGAGAGGACGACCAGCCACACUGGGACUGAGACGGCGAACUCCUACGGGAGGCAGCAGUGAAAUUUUGGACAAUGGAAACCACAGUCAGCCAUCCCGCGUGCGAUGAGAAGGCCCGCAUUUCAGGUUGUAAAGCACUUUUGGCAGGAAAGAAACGGCACGGGAUAAUACCCCGUGCAACUGACGGUACCUGCAGAAUAAGCACCGGCUAACUACGUGCCAGCAGCCGCGGUAAUACGUAGGGUGCAAGCGUUAAUCAGAAUUACUGGGCGUAAAGCGUGCGCAGGCGGUUCGGAAGAAAGAUGUGAAAUCCCGGAAGCAACUUUGGAACUGCAUUUUUAACUACCGAGCUAGAGUGUGUCAGAGGAGGUGGAAUUCCAUGUAGCAGUGAAAUGCGUAGAUAUGCGGAGGAACACCGAUGGCGAGGCUGCAGCCUCCUGGGAUAACACUGACGGCUUCAUGCACAGCGUGGGGAGCAAACAGGAUUAGAUACUGGUAGUCCACGCCCUAAACGAUGUCAACUAGCUGUUGGGGCCUUCGGGCCUUGGUAGCGCAGCUAACGCGUG
rnacentral:misc_RNA from 1 species